rnacentral:rRNA from 1 species
UACGGUGGGUGCGAGCGUUAUCCGGAAUUACUGGGUUUAAAGGGUGCGUAGGCGGAUGAUUAAGUCUAAGGUGAAAGCAUGUCGCUUAACGAUAUAAUUGCCUUGGAUACUGGUUAUCUUGAAUAUGAUUGAGGAUAGCGGAAUGUGACAUGUAGCGGUGAAAUGCUUAGAUAUGUCAUAGAACACCAAUUGCGAAGGCAGCUAUCUGGUUGUAUAUUGACGCUGAGGCACGAAAGCGUGGGGAGCAAACAGG